rnacentral:lncRNA from 1 species
UAUAAGGAUAAGAAAAAUUUUUUUUCUAGAACUAAGUGCACUCUCUCUUAACUUAGGACUCCCUAAGCACACUGGCUGUCGCAAGAUGCUCUAAUUCCCCCUCUUGAAGCUAAUCUUGGGAGUUCACUCAUCCUAGCUCCUGUGCAUCGAGAUUAUCUUUUCUUGGUUGAUUUUUUUUCAAACAAUCUCCAUACUGGAUUGGAAAAGCCAACCUCUGCCCUGACCUGAGUGACUGCCUUCUUGUGAAGGCUACCACCACAAUAGGUCCUCCUAAUCCUUUUGGAUACAAACAACAAACCUUCUAGAAAGUACUUUUGGUGUGCUUCGGGCUCACUCUGUGAGAAACGAGCAGGCCCUGGGAACCGCAUCUCCAUCACAGAAUAGGGAAUAGACAGAGACUGGCUGGCUGAGCUCCUUUUCCAGACACACAUGGCUUUUAUCUCAGGCCAUCAAGGCACCAAAAAAUCACCCCUCCCUGUGCCCUCCUAAGCUGUUCACACUUACCCUACGGAAACAAGAGAACUUUCUGCACAGCUCUUUUUUGAGCAUUUUAAAGGCCAAGAUGCCCUUUUGGCUGGAGUCACCCUGAGAACUGAAGCCUGCUCAUAGGCCACUGUUCGCUGAGCUGCAUAUGAAAGUGCCACAGGCUAAUUAUAACAGCUCUGGCCAUGACGGAGCCACGGUGGCAGCCUUCAAUUCGGAAACAGAAAGUCAGCGUUAACUGUGACCACAGGCUAACGCUACCCCAAAGGCACCAGCGACCAUGUCCCAAUCCUCACAUGAUGCGGGCAAGGAGGAUCAGGGAGAGCCGCGGAAAGACUUUACGGUGGAUGACUUAAGUCAAGGGGCAGAAGUCGUUAUUAUUGAGAACAGUUACUGCCAAGCAAGUUUUCAUAUGGGAACAGUAAAAAGCCACAUCUGAAACCUGUCUAUACCUUAAUUUGAUGGCUAUUAGUAAAGCAAGCCUGUCUGCCGUUUUCGAAACAAGAAACCUAGCAGUUUAACCCGAUAAGUUAACCAAUGAACUAACGUCGUGGUGGAUUGUUUUGACAUAAGGAGCUAGUUGCCUGUAUGUCACUGCCCAGACAGUUGCUUGGGGCUCCUGCGUCUCUAUGGCACCGAGGGCAGAGGCAGCCUUUGGCCAUCAGCCCCAGAAGACGAAGAGGCUUUUCCUGCAGAGGAGGAACAUGGGAGACUGGCCUAUCCUUGUCUACAGCACCGUGUGGCGAUCAGUUCUGCCCUCCAUCCACAGCUCAGGCCAGGUCUUGGCAGCAGCAGGCAAGACAUCAGGACAGUUAUGCCCAGUGGUUAUCAUACCACCAUCCAGGUGGUGUCCUCUGCCAUUGUGCCCACCAAUUUUCAGAGACCUCGGUG